rnacentral:rRNA from 1 species
GACGAACGCUGGCGGCGUGCUUAACACAUGCAAGUCGAACGGAAAGGCCCUGCUUUUGUUGGUUGCUCGAGUGGCGCACGGGUGAGUAACACGUGAGUAACCUGCCCUUGACUUUGGGAUAACUUCAGGAAACUGGGGCUCAUACCGCAUAGGAUCUCCUGCUGCAUGGUGGGGGUUGGAGAGUUUCGGCGGUUGGGGAUGGAAUAGCGGCUUACGAGCUUGUUGGUGGGGUAGUGGCUUACCAAGGCUUUGACGGCUAGCCUGCCUGAGAGGGUGACCGGCCACAUUGGGACUGAGAUACGGCCCAGACUCCUACGGGAGGCAGCAGUGGGGAAUAUUGCACAAUGGGCGGAAGCCUGAUGCAGCAACGCCGCGUGCGGGAUGACGGCCUUCGGGUUGUAAACCGCUUUCGCCUGUGACGAAGCGUGAGUGACGGUAAUGGGUAAAGAAGCACCGGCUAACUACGUG